rnacentral:rRNA from 1 species
AAGGGUGACGAAGCGACGCCGCGUGUGGGAAGAAGGCCUUCGGGUUGUAAACCACUGUCGGGAGUUAGGAAAUGCAGGUGCGUUAAUAGCGCACUUGCUUGACUAAGGCUCCAGAGGAAGCCACGGCUAACUCUGUGCCAGCAGCCGCGGUAAUACAGAGGCGGCAAGCGUUGUUCGGAAUUAUUGGGCGUAAAGAGCACGUAGGCGGCCUUGCAAGUCAGUUGUGAAAGCCUUCCGCUUAACGGAAGAACGGCAUCUGAUACUACAGGGCUUGAGUACGGGAGGGGAGAGUGGAACUUCUGGUGGAGCGGUGAAAUGCGUAGAUAUCAGAAGGAACGCCGGCGGCGAAAGCGACUCUCUGGUCCGAAACUGACGCUGAGUGUGCGAAAGCUAGGGGAGCAAACGGGAUUAGAUACCCCGGUAGUCCUAGCUGUAAACGAUGGGCACUAAGUAGAGGGAAUU